CCUCCUCCUCUCCCCUCCCGCGCACCUCCUCUCCCCGCGUCCCAGCCCCCGCUCGCCCCGCUCUCUCCCCUUCCUCUCCCUCCCUCAGACCUCGCCGCCCCGCUCACAUCGCUGCCGCCGACGCCCUCGGACCACGCCACGGUGGACCUCGCUCCUCCCCGCCCCGCCUGUCCCGCUCGCCGUGGCCGUGGCCAAUGACCGCGGCCCCGCCGUCCCGCCCCGCCCGCCGCGGCGGCCAUGGACGAGCUCGAGCUCGACAGGGGAGCAACGGGGAGAGGAACAUGAGGCUAGGGGGAGGAAGAAGAUGGCCACCGCCGCCGGAUCACCGUCACGCCUCUGCUUCAACCCUAACCCUAGCAAUUCUGCUGCUGCUCAAGGUGCACGCAUGCGUCCAACGGCGAACCCUAGCCUCGGACAGCAGCAGCGGCCAUCACCAAUGACAGUAGCGACAGGAGCGGCCAGCAGCUCAGGUGCACCUAUCUCUUCCAGGAGCACGACGCCCCACCCCACCCACUACCCCUUCCCCCGCCAGCCAUGGGGGCUGGCCCCCUGCCUCUCAGAUCGUGACCUGAAGCCGGCUCAGACUUCAGAUGCAGAGAUGUGAUGCUUGCUCUGUUGCCAGUGCAUCCUACUCUCCUGGCAACCAUAGUGCCCUCACCAUAACAUGAACAACAGAGGGCUGGUGCGCUCACCAUGACCUUGAUGGCGCAGCGGAAGUUCGAGUCCUCUGUAGAGAAGCAUCCAGUGGCGGAGGCUAUGAGGUUGCAUUCUUAUUUCUCCUAGGACUAUGUUUAAACAUUCAACAACUCUGGCCAACAUAUGAAACAAGGCCAAGUCUCGCAUGGGGAUGCAGCCAAUCCUCUGCUUGCUUCCAGCACGGCGCCGGCCGGAUCCGGCUCGACCACAACCACGACACCGGCAUUGGCAGCCAUGUGCUUCUUCUCCAUCACCACAAAAUGAGAAUGCAAGGCACAAGCAAGGGGAGACCAUCGCUUCGCUCCUCUGGGCCGCCGCUGCUCCAACCCUACUGGACGCCAUGCAAGGUCGCCGACGUUGUGGAGCUGGACGAGGUUUUUUGGUGCGUUUGUGCUCGUUGGCGGGACGGUGCAAGGCGCAACUCCGACGUGGUUCCUUGCCGGUUGGGCGGCGUUCACGCGCAACCCCGGCGUGCACUGAGUACUGCCUCGGCUACAACCUCCCUCGGUGAGCCCCAUCUUCCUCCUGCUCCUCUGCUUCGGCUACUAUAUGGGACAUGGCCAUGGCUAUAUUGAUCCAUCCAUCCAUCCAGAAAUAAGAAUAGAAGCUCCUCAGGCCGCACCACAGUGAUUUGGGAUUCCUGGCCGUCGGAUCGGGUGGCUUGAUCGGAUCUGGGCUGUUGGAUCGACCCCUGUAACGACAUCGUCCGUCGGAUAAAAAAAGUUACUGCUGGAAUGAAUAGUUACUCCCGUUUCGUGCCACCGCUCGUAAAUAGCCUGCCCCGCCGGGGGCAUUCUCGCCAUUUCACUUUGUCUAUGGCGGUGGCGUUCGUGCUAGGGCGAUGAUGAUUAACUGUGGCUGGAAUAAGUGUGCCUUUGAGCAAUCAAGGCACCUGUGGGUAUCAAGUUGGAUCCUCCCUGUUGUCUCUAGAAUCCUUUUUGAUCCUGUGAUACCUAUUGAUCUGUCCUUGGAUGGUCAUUCUUGUUGAGUGAUAACCAGGGCAGCUCCAUUGUGUAAACAGAUUGAUCUGGUGAUAAGAGAUGAUGGGGAUAGGUUAUAUGAUCGAGAAAAGGUGAAUCUGAGCCCACUAUGCAAUAAAACUGCAGCUACCUCCCCUAAUGUGUGUAGUAUUGAAGGCAAAAGAGAACUUUUAAUGUCUUGCUACUUUAAAAUUCCAAAAAGGUGCAUUCUUCCUUUGCUGGUUACUUAAACAUGAUUUUUUGUUUUGCUUUGGUUCUGGUUGAGAUACUAAAGGUUGUUUAUAUAUGAAAAUAAUAGACACUUGUAGUUUUGUAUGCCUCACCUGUAGCUUAGGAUCCAGUGUUGUAAUGUUUUGCCUGGGUAAAAAUAACUCUAAUCAAUAAUAGUGGUUCUAUCCUUCUGAUUUGAACUGGGAGAGGGCCACUGAUUCUUGAUCUUAAGGUGACCCCAUUUUUCUAUGCCUCAUGCUCAUGCUGCUCUAUGUUCCCUUUUAAAGAUUCUUGCUUGCAUUUUGGGUUGGUUUUCUGCUAUAUGUUCCCUUUUAGCAUUUCUUUCCGCUGUUGCUGCAUUCCCUUUUUUGUAUAUUACAUGUUCUUUUUGUAUCUCAUUCUGCAUGUAACAUAACUAAAUAAUACAUUGAGAUGAAAGGUUAUAUCUGAUAUCAUUGAGAGGAGCAGGCCAACAUCCCUACCUCCCUCUUCAACUCCCACCCAACACAAUUGUGGUGAGCUCCCCCUCUCAUCUACCUGCUAUUUGUACAUUCGGUUUUGGAUGCAUACAAAUUGUGUAUGCCAUGACUAAAACUCGGGCAGCAAAUUGUGUGUGUGUGUGCGCGCGCGCGCGCACGCACAUCACAUUUUUGUUUAAUUUUGGAUGGCUCAAACCGGCUGGAGCCAACUUUGUGUGCGUGUGAGUGCGCAUCCAUUGCAUGUAAAAAUCUUGUUUUUUCCAAACUCUUCUACUGUCGGAUAUGUAGAUAAAUUGCUUAUCUGGGCAGUUGUAGUACUCCAUGCCAUUGUCAAGGAUCUGCACUUUCAUCGCACUAAAUGUAGUUGACUAAAAAGGUAAGUUAUGCCUUCUCUCUCGCUAAUCAAUUUUCUCUUGGCUAUUCUUUCUUUGCAGAUGAUCAUAUUUUGUGUAUUUUCACUAUGUAUUCUUGUAUCUAUAUAUGUUGAGCAGAUUGUUUCCUCUAUGACCAUGAUUCUAUAUGAUUACUGUGGUCUCUAACCUUCUCUUCUUUUCUAAUUAGAACAUGAUACUAAUCUGAUGUAUCUCCUAUUUGCGGUGACUAUUAAAUAUGGAGUUUCUGUGUUGUCUAAUGAAGCAGUCAAGUAUGCAAUCUGAGUAGAAUAUCAUUUAAAGGUCAUUGACCCAACAAAUUGAACUUAAUCUGAACCUCCCCUGUUCCUGCUAAAUAUCCCUAUUUUUCUGAACUUAACAAAGAACAACAUCAUAUAUUAGAUCAGCACACAAGUGAACCGGAAAGCAUUUUAUUCAGUCUUGGUACCCUUAGUGUAAAAUUAUUCCUUACUGGUUGGGAAUUUGGAGGUGCAGUAUGUGGUUGGUGAAAGAUUUUUUCUCUCCUAGGCUCCACACAUUCUCUUCCAUCUAAAACAACCGAUGCGGUCAAGUGGUGUAGUAGUUGAUGGUCGAGAGCUAAAAUCAGGGCACUGUUUUGUUUUAGGAUUUGUGUAAUCUUUAGAUCCACCUUUACCAUCACAAUUAUUUGCCUGAGCUCUGGUGAUUACUCCCAAGGAUUACUCCACCAAAUAACAUUACCGAGGUAUCACUGUGUGCCUGGCUGUUUAUUCAUGUGUAGUACUACAGUGUGUGGCCUUCUCUGUUUUGUCAAAUGCCAGUACUUGCAUUGUGACCCUUGAUGUAAUGUCUGUCAACCUGUAACCCUUUGAAACAUGACCUGUUGCCUAUUGGUAUUACUGAUAUAAAAGAGAUAUUUUGUUUGUGCUGAUGCAGGAGGGCAGCAGCCUCGAUGCGGCGAUCACGUCGCUCCUUAGCGUGGAGAUGUAGUGCCACCUGGCCGGCAGAAGGAAGUCCGCCGAUCGUCGAGAUCUGCUUCAAGGACGGCGCCUGGAAGAAGCUCAAUGACCAGAUCAUCGUCCUCUCCAAUAGGAGGGGUCAGUUCAAGCAGGUUGGUCCGCUGUCUACAGGUGCUCGUUAUUCUGGCCAGUUUGUCGUGCUCUAUCUUCGACCACCUCUUUGCAGUAACUUUUUCCGGCCUUGCUGGAGGAGAUGAAGCACAUGGCAAAGCAGGAGUUCAUUGCGCACUUAAGAAGCAGAGGAGGCGUCCUGGAGCGCGGUGGAGGCAUUUUGGACGUGGAGCACGGCCUUGCGGUUCCUGGAGCCUAGGGAGGCCAUGCGAGAAACCUGGGGCAGCAAGGUACUGCGUCUUGCUGCUCCUCCCCCAUGUCUGGAGCUCGCCUGGAGCUCCCCCAUGCCUUGAGCUCGCUAGAGCAGAGGCCUGCAGAGCGCUCCCUGGGGCAAGGCCUGGGGCGAUCUGCAGGGAGGAGCAGAGGCCUGGAGCUGCGGGGAGAAGAGGUAUGUAGCUGCAGGGAGGAGCUGAGGCCUGGAGCUGGCGGCGAGCUCUGGAGGCGACGACGCAAGGAAGGAGUGAAUCAUGAGGGAGAGGGAGGAGCGGAUCGCCAACUUUUGAAUUGUAUAAGGAUGUAAUUGAAAAAUGCUGUUUAGUUCAAAAUGUGUGUCCGUUGCGACAGAUAUUUCGGGACGGAGAAAGUACUAUUGACAUGGAUACACUUUAUUUAUCAAGGAUUUUUGUAUAUCAUAUUAUCACAGGAAAAUGAUCUAUGUAUGCACUUUUUAUGGUCAUGUACAGUUCAGAGCCAGUGUUAUUUAUCAAACACAUAAUUUAAAUAAGGCUUGUGAAAAAAAUUGCCCAUAGAAAUGAUCACUUUGGAUUGGUAGUGUCAAAAGGAUGCAGAACAUUUGCAACAUUUCUUCCCAUAUUCAUGAGACUUUCACUCUGUUGUUGCAUUAGUCAAGUUUAAUUUCAUUACAUAUGUGUGCAUGUAUCAGUUUUCAUAUGUAAAGUGAUAUAUUUAAGAAUUAUGAGAAAUUUUGCCAAAUUUGGUGGGCACAAAACAGAGGCAUCCGGAAGCAGGACAAACGUCAUUGGUAUUUUGUUGGUCAUUUUUUGCAUCGCAUCUCAAAUGGAAUGGCACUAAUGGAGGCAAUUGAACCAAGCUAUCUAUUGUAUGCCUAACUAUGGCUUUAUAGUUGUAUCGCCUCUGGUGCCAAUGUUUUCUUCUUAGCCCUGAACCCGAUAAUCGGUAAUCCUGUUACAUGUUCUAAACUUGCCUUCAUAUAAAUGCAUCAUGUCGUUUGAUCUUCCGUCACUUGACCUCCCGCACGCCUCCUCUCCCCUCCUCCCACCCACAUCGCCGCUGCCGCCACCUACCGCCUCGAACCGCGCCGUCCGCGGCCAGAUCCGCCGCAACAGAGCCCCCCUUCCAACGACGACGAGCAGCAGUGGAGGGAGGACGAGGAGCACGACGGUGGCGGCGGCGGGGAGCAGCAGCGGCAGGCCAAGGCGGCGCAGCAGGCAGCGGAGGGAGGAUGAGGAGCACGGCGGCGGUGGCGGCAGGGAGCGGCGUACAACGCCGCCAGGGCCGUGCUGAUGAGUCCUCCUCCUCCUCCUUCCACCCCUGCAACUUCAACCGCCACCCGGAACCCUACCGAUGGCGCCAUAGAUCAGAUCCUCCUCUCUCCUCAUCUCCCUCGCACUACGCCGGCUGCAGGCCAUCUCCGACGAGCUCAUCCACGGGUCUCCGACUAUGCUGCUCCGAUCUGGAAGAAGGGGUCGGUGGAGCUGCUGCUGCUGCAGGUGGAUGAGGCACGAGCUCUCAUGGCUCCUCCCUCCUCCUACCCCCUGACGUGGUUUCCCUGAUGAGGACAAGCUGCUUCUGCAGGUGGACGGGCCCUCAUGGUUGCUGCACUCUCUCAUCGGGAGUAGGCAGGAGAAGUGUCAGCCGCCGAAGCAGACGAGCCGAGCCAUCAGUGGUUGCAUCUUUGACAUCCUUUCCUAGCGUGGUCGCCAGCAGAGUGCUCGAGUCUGGAGGGGCAGCAGACGGUGGUGGGCGCUUGCGCCGCCGCCAUCUCGUUCGUCCUGCCCGCCCGACCCCCGAUGCUCACUUCCCCAGCGUCGUCGCCGUCGUCCACAACCACCGCCACCGCGCCCCCACCCUCUCCCCAUCGCUGCAGGGCCCCACCUUCUCCCAAUCCCCUCAUCCUUCUCUCCCGUUGCCAGUGGAUUCGCCCCUCGCGGGAUCGAUUCUUGUGUUUGUAUUUGUUGGAUUGCUUGCUUAUGUCUAAUGAAGAGAGUAUAUGUCCUGCCGUAUACCUAGAACUCUUAUGUUUGGUUAAUUAUUUUGAUUUAGUUCCUUAGGUUAAUAUAAUUUUAUUGUGGUUUUUUACAGAUGUUUCAUUUUACCUAGGGAUAAAAAGUGCAAUAUAAAGGUUCAUUAAACAAACUGAACUUAUAUAUGAUCAUUUAGGUGCUGAAUUUGUCUAUCUGAACUUUAUUGGUACUGAAAUUAUCUCAUAUAAAGUAAGUGAUUCAUUUCCCCUCGAGUGGAUAAACAUAUAGUGGAAGAAGGGCUUCUAUGUCAUACCCAUGCCUUCAUAUUUAGUUCCAUGCUAAAGGAUCACUAAAUCUCGGCACCUCCAUUGUUUUUCUUAUCAAACUAGAGGGCUUCAUAAAUAUUGUAUAUAUGUCUUACCAAGACAUUUUCUAAGUAACAUAGUGAGUUCAAAUUGUUUUUUCUGUAACCUUUGAUAGAAGGAUCCACACAUGUUUUGUUUUCUGCGUGUAUAUUUGUGCUACCAAGAUUGCAUUAUAUUUUUCUGAGUCCAGAGAGAUGGACCUUGCUUAUGAUGGCAGUCAGUGUUAUGUUUACUUGAUAAUCCUUAAUUUUCCAAUUCACAGCUUUGUGUACUGCUGUUAUACACACACUUCCAAAGAAAUAUCAGAUUUUGUUCUUUCUUCUUUUAAAAUUAAAUAUGCUUGAAUUUCCUUUUGUCGAUUUCUAAACUCACCUUCCUGAUAGUUUCCAUACAUGCAUAUACCCUUUUUGGUCAUUAUAGAAAUAUAUUGUUUUAACGAUGCCUGUUAGCUACAUAUGUCAGAAUGUAACUAAUUAAUUUUACUUCUCGCGAAGUAUAUUUCUUUUGUUUCAAUAAGAAUUAUGCACAACUCGAUAUUUAAAGGUGCAUUUGUCUAAUUUUCUUUAUUUCAAAACUGCAUAUGCAGGAGAGGCUCACACUAAGGGAGGGCUAAAUUGUGAGAUAUCCUUGUUUGGUCCUUUCCAUAUACCUACAAGGCAUGAAUCAAGAUGGCAUGGUUUAUCAUUGAACUGAAUGCUUCCAUGGAACUUUGGUUUCAGGAGAGUUUCACUUCAUGUAGCGGCGUGGAUGUCCGGGGAAGUGGUUCCUCGCCGGCUGGAUGGCGUUCAGGCGCAACCCCGGCGCCCACUGAUUACUGGCUCGGCUACAACCUCCCUCGGUGAUCUCCAACUUCCUCCUGCUCCUCAAUUUCUGUUUGGGGAAUUCUUCAAUUGAUAAAUUGAAAUGACUACUGGUUAGGUAAUUAGUUCACUGAAAAGAUAGGCCAUUGUCGUUUAAUAUAGUUUUUGGUCUCAUUAACAACACACGUUGGUGUCAAGACGAGCGACAUGGCCUGCUAUGAUCAACAACUUCUGAGUCAUAGGAUUUGAUGCAUUAUUCUGUGUGAAAAGGGGCAAUGAAUGCGUGAAUUAAGUUUUUUUGGUUUGAAGCUACUAGCAGCAAUUUCUAUGUAUAACUAUACUAAUAGAUGAGAGCAUGUGUGCAUAUGUGGUUUUCAAGGAGAAUUAUGUGACCGUGGCGUUCGUGCUCGUCGGCGGGACGAUGCAAGGCGCAACUCCGACGCGGUCGCGUGGUGGAUGUGCGGUGUAGGAAGCGGUUCCUUGCCGGUUGGACGGCGUUCACGCGCAACCCCGGCGUGCAGUGAGUACUGCCUCGGCUACAACCUCCCUCGGUGAGCUCCAUCUUCCUCCUUCUCCUCUGCUUUGGCUACUGUAUGGGACAUGGCCAUCCAGAGAUAAGAAUAGAAGCUCUCCUUCCAGCUCCUCAGCGAUUUGGGCUCCUGGCCGUUGGAUCUGCGCGCUUGAUGCGAUCCGAGCCAUUGGAUCGAGCCCUGGAACGACCUUGUCCGUCGGAUAAAAAAUAGUUACUGCUGGAAUGAACAGUUUCACCUCGACCGUGCCACCGCGCGUAAAUAGCCUGCCCCACCGGGGGCAUUCUCGCCAUUUCGCUUUGUCUGUGGCUGGCGUUCGUGCUAGGGCGAUGAUGAUUAACUGUGGCUGGAAUAAGUGUGCCUUUGAGCAAUCAAGGCACCUGUGGGUAUCAAGUUGGAUCCUCCCUGUUGUCUCUAGAAUCCUUUUUGAUCCUGUGAUACCUAUUGAUCUGUCCUUGGAUGGUCAUUCUUGUUGAGUGAUAAACAGGGCAGCUCCAUUGUGUAAACAGAUUGAUCUGGUGAUAAGAGAUGAUGGGGAUAGGUUAUAUGAUCGAGAAAAGGCUAAUCUGAGCCCACUAUGCAAUAAAACUGCAGCUACCUCCCCUAAUGUGUGUAGUAUUGAAGGCAAAAGAGAACUUUUAAUGUCUUGCUACUUUAAAAUUCCAAAAAGGUUCAUUCUUCCUUUGCUGGUUACUGAUUCUUCAUCUUAAGGUGACCCCAUUUAUAUAGUGGUUCUAUCCAUCUGAUUUGAACUGGGAGAGGGCCACUGAUUCUUGAUCUUAAGGUGACCCCAUUUUUCUAUGCCUCAUGCUCAUGCUGCUCUAUGUUCCCUUUUAAAGAUUCUUGCUUGCAUUUUGGGUUGGUUUUCUGCUCUAUGUUCCCUUUUAGCAUUUCUUUCUGCUGUUGCUGCAUUCCCUUUUUUGUAUAUUACAUGUUCUUUUUUAUCUCAUUCUGCAUGUAACAUAACUAAAUAAUACAUUGAGAUGAAAGGUUAUAUCUGAUAUCAUUGAGAGGAGCAGGCCAACAUCCCUACCUCCCUCUUCAACUCCCACCCAACACAAUUGUGGUUGGUCCACUGUCUACAGGUGCUCGUUAUUCUGGCCAGUUUGUCGUGCUCUAUCUUCGACCACCUCUUUGCAGGAAAAUGCCUCAAUUAAUUAGUUUGUUGCUCCGUUAGUCGCCAUGGUCAGAUGAUGCUUCAGGUUUGCACUUCACAUUGAGGUAUUAGCCUGGUUACUAGCAUAGGUUUUCCUGUUGUGCCGCUUACUGCAAUUUCAUUAUUGAUUUGAUAGGAAAACUGGUGUUUAUCUACAUGAGGGACCUGGUUGUAUUACCUACUACAUGCAUCGUUAACUGGGCACCAAAAAACCUAGAUUGUGCAUCUCUGUUUGUUCAUGUGGUGAUUAUCCUAUUGUUUUCGGCAUCAGUGAGUUAUCUCUUCCCUGUGUUUUUUGCGUGAAGUCUUAGCCAACACCCAAGGUUCUGUUCCUGUGUAAUUAUUUUGCAUUGUUUCAGUUUGUUGUAUUACGAUGCCUAUUUUGCAGUCACACAAUCCAAAUGUAAUAGUAGGGAGAAAGAUGAUGAUGUUGUGCUUUAUAUAACAAUUCAAAUUCUAGAGUCGCACUUUUUGUUGAUUAAUCAUUCUGACCAGUAAUGAUUAUUCCUCUUUGUUUUAUUGUAUUGUUGGCCAAUUGUAGGUGUAUAUUUUCUGUAUGGUAUAUAUUAUGCGAGUUAUUUCUAACGCAUCUUGAUUUUAUUUUAGAAUCAUCUAACUCAAGCUCAUGCCUUUGAUCUUUGUUAACUAAAGCUUCUGUUAUAUUGGAUAUCAAAUUAUCUACACUUGAACUUAAGAUGUGAUGUAUCAUACUAGAUUUUCACUCCUUUAAAAAAUCUUAGUUAGCAUUCAGAUUUUUUUUAGAAUAGAUGCUCCUAUAUUUUUGUCAGCGCUUGAUGUACUUUGUUUAAAUGUUUCUUCCUGGUAGGAUCGAUUGUAAACAGUGGAUGAAUGCAUACCUUUUCAAGCUUAAGCAUUUGAUGUUUGGUGAUGUGGUAUUUGCUCUUUAAAGACGUUCCUACUACUUUCUUUUUUGAUAAAUAGACAAGUUGGAUCCAGUGUAUGUCCAUGUGUGUGCCUUGGUUCAGUACGCAAUGAAAUCUGGGAAAGUGGCUUCUGUUUAACAUUGUCAUGAAAGAUACAUUCACAUGUCUUGAACUUUCUAUCUUGGUUCUAUUUGUAUUGUUAGUUUCAAAAGAUAUAUUCACUUCUUUGCGACUUUUAUCUCUAUAACAUGUCUACUCUUCGUUUAGAUAUAUUUUUUAUUCCACCUAUGUUGUUGUGAGGGAGCAGGCUUCUUAUGGGGAAUGGUGAUGAUUUCUUGAGCUUUCAUUUUGUUCUCCUUUCUAUCCCAAACAUAGUUUUCGCAGAGUCGAUGUAUGUGCCGGUUUGCCCGGAUAAUCCAUGUAGCGGUUAGUCUGUUUUUAUUCAUAUAAUUACUGGACUCCUAUAAAAAACACGAAGAUGUACUGCGCUAUAUGUUCUCUGAUCCGUUGAGCCCAAACAUGUACAAGUGGAUCUGAUCGUUAGAUUUUAAUUAUAUUUUGGACGUUGUCAUAGCUAGCAAUAUAUAGUGCAGUUUACUUUCUUUGUCCUCUUGUGGCCACUAACUAAAUCUUUUGUGUUUUCUUCUUUUGCUCAGGGCCCUAUGCUCCUAUAGCUUGAAUUAGGGUGGUGCCAGUGAUUCACAAGCAAGGUGAAGUCAUUCAAGUAUUGGCCACUACUAUCUGCAUUAGCUUCGCCUCAGAAAAUAACCUUUUCACUUGGAAGGAGGAAGUAGGAGUUCUCAGUAAUGGUUAACUACAAGCUACAGUAGAUGUUCUUUGAUUAACAAAGACAAAUGUCCUACUAUUAUCGAUGUUUCCAGAGCUUCGUUCUCAAUUUGUCUGUUAUCUCAUUAUGUUUAUGAGCAGCUCCAAAAUCUGAUACUUAUGCUUGCCAGUAUGAAUUUCUUGGCUAUAUUUUAUAGAACUUAUGUCUUGACGCUUUGUACUGAACUUGAUGCAGUCCAAUUCAAGUCAGUUGUCCUGAGCAAGCACUAUGUCUUGCUUUUGGUACACUUUGUGCC